rnacentral:lncRNA from 1 species
CUUUCCUCUUCUAAAUCGAUCCUCUCAGGUAUUUUUGUCACAGUGAUGACCAGCUUAUUAACAUGCCUGUGUAACGGAACCUCCAUGAAAGCCCCUUUAGAAUUAUCUGAACAGACUUAGAAAGAGCAGGUACCUGCUGAGGGUCUCUGGUGUUGGACUUUGGACAUGGGGAAGGGAGCAGCUUCGGGACAGAGGAAAAGGUGAAGGUGGACUGGAGGAAGCAAGGAGAGAGUGGCAGAGAGGAAGGUGUCAUGCAAUCGGGCCCCACUUGCCCCCAGAAUACCACCAGAGGGCCUGGCCGGGCCAGAGACAGUCUCACAACUCACACCAAGCAGCCCCGCUGUUAACCACGCUCAGACCCUCGCCACCUGGGUUUUCCUCCGUUCUUCCACCACAGGUGUGGUUUCUGAUCUUGAUGGCCUACUGAGAUUUACCAGUGACAUCAGUCACCCCCGUCCCCAUGGCCAGCUCCUGAAGAUCUGAGUAGAUCUGAGCAGAAGAGAGGAUAGAGCUUUCAAAACAACAAUUGCACAGAAGUUAAGCAAGCACACAAGACUUUACUCAAGACCAUUGCUCUGGGGGACACAGGCCAGAGCUCCAUCAGAACGAC